UCGUCGUCGUCGUAGUCGUCCACCGUUUUUGUGGUGGAUUUCCUUGUGUUGUAUACAUUUGUCGAGCUAGUCGCACGUACGUCAGGAAGCCCGCCUAGACGUUCUCAGUUUUUAGACAAUUCGCGAGAUAGAAGGUCGCACUAACUAUCGCGUGCGAUUGGCAAUGCUUGCUGUGGGAGCUAUUCUUUUCGCGCAGUGUCGGUAAAGAACAGGCCUCCGUAAGCUCGACGUUAGAACCGGUAAAAACAUCCGGAGAGAGUGGUUGGUCGCUUGGCUUACACUAACUUACGGUAAAAUUGUACCUCAUUGUCGGAAUUGUCACACGUGCUAGGCUUACCAAACGCCCACGUGCACCAGUUUGCUAUUUUAUAUACAUGUUCAGGGUGUCGAGUGGAAGCUGCGGCUAUGUAACGACGACGGAAUUACGUUGUGUUGUGGAAAUGAGAAAAAGUUUCGUGAAAAUAUCGCAUCCCAGUGUUUAUUCACAUGAGGUGUUAUUUAGGUGAUGAAAAUGAAUUCGUUCAAUGCGCAGUUUUAAUCAACAAAUGUAUUGUGGAUCUCUGUUCAAAAAGGAAUCUGUUAAAUCCGGAAGAAGCAAAGCAUAUCGGAAUGUGAAGUGCAAAAAUUUACGAUAAUUACGAAGAAGAUUGAAGAUAAUUGACAGCAGAAAAGUGUCAUCCGUUGUGUUCAUUGAUGAAUCCAAUUGAGUUAUUUAGUUGAAAUUGUUUCCUUGAAUUAAAUUUGCAUGUUUUUCAGAAUCGUGAGAAUGAUAAUAAACAACUUUCAAAUGAUACGUGUAGUCCGAAAGUGUAGCUAAUCAUACCGAAAAAAUAUCCCGGAAAAGUGCAACGGAAAAUACCCAGGGAAAUACAAACACGAUGAAGAUUCCCACUGAUCCAUGGCAUGAGUGUUUGUUUGCCAAAAAUAACUGCAGUGAGAUAUAGAAUUGAAAGUGAACGGAUCGCAAAUCCCGAAAUGUGAUCGUUACGUACACAUUUUGAUAUACUGUGUAUGUAGAGAUUCCAAAAAUAAACAAAACAUAAUCGAUUUGUCGUUUGUUACGCGACUGUGAUCGUUCUGGCCAUCGCAAGACAUUCUGUAAUUAAUUAAAACAAAAGAAAAACCAAAGCCGCUGAAAUGUUCUUCUCAUCGGGAGUGGAUACGAAAAAAUCGAACUGGUUCUCGUCGUUGCGACGACAACCGAAAACCAAGAAAACAGCGCUGGUCGCUGAGAAACCAACCCAGAAGAGUUGUGUCGAUCUGACGUCGGGUGAUUUGUACAGCAGUGAUCUUCCUAGUGCGCCAACGAAUGGUUCUGUCGAAAGUGGUGUACUAACUCCUUUGGCUAAUCCGGCAGCGGAAAGGACGAUAUGCACUUGUGAAUGGGUAAAACUAACCCCAUCGCCAACAUCUGCCUCCGAUUCGCCAGAAUCAUUCACCAGCCUUACUCCUACGACUACCGCAUCAAUAACCACAACGGUUUCGAAAAGUCUGAGAGAAAACAAAUAUCAUCCGAUUCCAAGUGCCUCCUCAGUCGAUAACCUCACCAGUGAUAGUGCUAAUGAUCUCAAGGAUCUGGUUUCAUUGUCCACACAGAGUAACACCAGCAGUCUGAGGAGGCGACCACGCCUUAAAGAGCAACUGUACACCUCCACAACGGUGACCACCGUCACGACGAAAACGACGAUUGUGAACAAACAGAAAACUUACCGAGUAGGACUAAUCUUCAGCGACAAUGGUGAACUCCUGAAUAGCACACUCGACCUGCGACAGCUACUCGAGGAAAGCAAACAGGCUCAGAAACUCAUUCCUAGCGGCAGUACGGAUAGUAGUGUUGGUAAAGAAGUUAACAAUAACAACGCCAGCAGUGAUCUGAAACUGCAGAGACAGUUUAGCAUAUUGGAAGACAGUAAUUUUGACUUCAUUGACGACAGUGCGGACCUAUUCAACCGCAACUAUUCGAGCAAUAAUUCCGCUGUCCAUGCCAAUUCGGCCAGCUCAACGCCAAAAGUAUUGCGGAAGUGUAACAACUGUAAAAACAAAUCUAAUCUAGUCUACAAAAGAAGCAUCAGCUCGCCUCAUCGGAAGAAGCAAAUAAACGAUGAACUGAACGAGGUAGAGUCCGAAAUGAGAGCACACGAAAACAAGGAGGAGAACAAACAUUCCAAUAAGGAUAAACAGAUGGCACUAGGGCGUAAGAAGUUUAACAUGGAUCCAAAGAAAGGCAUUGAAUUUUUGUACGAAAACCAGCUCCUCAGGAUGGACCCACAGGACGUAGCGCAAUUUUUGUAUAAAGGAGAAGGACUCAACAAGACAGCCAUAGGUGAUUAUCUGGGUGAGAAAAAUGACUUCAAUGAACAAGUGCUGAAAGCGUUUGUGGAUCUGCACGAUUUUACCAAUCUGAUAUUGGUGCAAGCUUUAAGACAAUUUCUCUGGUCAUUCAGAUUACCCGGAGAGGCGCAAAAGAUCGAUCGCAUGAUGGAAUGCUUCGCACAGCGUUACUGUCAGCUUAAUCCGGACAUUUUCACCAACACCGAUACGUGUUAUGUACUAAGCUUUGCCAUUAUUAUGCUAAACACGUCGUUGCAUAAUCCCUCGGUGAAAGAGAAGCCCACUGUUGAGCAAUUUAUAUCAAUGAAUAGAGGCAUCAACAAUGGAGGAGAUUUACCGAGAGAAUUACUUGAGUCCCUGUACGAAUCCAUCCGAACAGAGCCUUUCAAGAUACCACAGGAUGAUGGAAACGACUUGAUGCACACCUUCUUCAACCCGGAUAAGGAAGGCUGGCUCUGGAAACAAGGAGGACGAUACAAAUCGUGGAAACGACGGUGGUUCAUCCUGAAUGAUAACUGUUUGUAUUACUUCGAGUACACCACCGAUAAGGAACCCAGAGGAAUCAUUCCACUUGAGAAUAUUGCGGUUCGAGAGGUACAGGAUCGCAGCAAACAGUUCUGCUUCGAGUUACAUGCAAGUGGUGGCGCGGAAAUCAUCAAAGCGUGCAAAACCGACUCCGAAGGGAAGGUUGUUGAGGGUAAGCACACGGUUUAUCGAAUGUCGGCCGCCAGCGAGGAGGAACAACAAGAGUGGAUCAAGUGUCUCAACCAGUCCAUCAGUCACAAUCCGUUUCACGACAUUCUAGUGCAAAGGAAGAAGAAGGCACUAGCAAAAAGUUAGUUAGCGCUGUCUUGUUUGAAAAAUUAAUUCACCUUUAGUUUUUCAACUCUCACGCCGAGCUCUACUACUACUGCUACUACUCACACUCACUGUUUGUUGCUGCUAUACCAAGUUGGACAGAUAUAGAGCGAAUCGAUUGGGCGACUGAAUCUCAGCUGUGUUUAGUGUAGACAAAAUUGUGUGUGUUUUGUGCAGCCCCGUGCGCGUGUGAUACAAUGCAUCCAACUAUAGAAAGAACAUUUACUACUCAUCCCUUAUCAGAACAAAAUGCGCAAUCAUUAGCUAAUUGUCGUCUAAAAAAUCAAAACAUUUAAACUAAACUAAUUUUAUGCACACAUUUUCAUAUCAUAGACGUCAUUAUUGAUUAACGGAAUAUUGAUUUUACUCUUGAAUUGGUGCACCUGUUUCGCGUACGCCGGAACAUGCAAUGAAGACUACAAGGUGACUUUGACCGAUGACGCUAUUAUCAACAGUGCUGCUGUUGCCCAUGAUGGUACCUGGGAUACGU